GUCUGCCUUCCAAAGUGUAGGCUUCUUAGCUGAGGCAAUUCAGAACCACAGGAAUUUACUGAAUGCCGGCCACAUGCCAGGCACGUUCAGCAUCUUUGGGAGGCCAAAGGAGAGGAGAGCCUCCUGGACUCAGGGAUCAUCCAUUGAUCCCUCUUCACUUCAUGGCCAUUCCUCCAAGCAGCAAGCCAGUGAGUUAAUCUUGAGGUGUCCAUGCCUGGGAUUCCCAUGACAUCUGACUGUGGGGACAUUCUAAGAAGCUGGAACAAACUGUAAGGACCCCAUUUCAAACAAAAUUCUGUAUUUCCCCUCAGAUCCUGGAUGUAUUCCCUGUUAGUGAGAGCUCAAGUAGGGAUCUUUGUACCAGCAUACUUCCUUCAGGGAAAUGGUCUGCAGUAUUUUAGAAGUUGAGUCUUGGGAGAGGCAAUGUGGAGUUGCAGGGCCUCCCAUUCUAAGGUAGAACCUUACCAGGGAAAGAUGGAGAGCACAGGGUGUGUCAAGGAGGCUUCUCCCACCAACACCUGCUCUCCAACACAGCCCAACAGUUAGGAGGCAGAAGAGACGUAGGAUGGGAAAUUCCUGUGAAUUACACUAUUAGGAUUUCAUAUUGGGGAGAGAGAGGGGGG
rnacentral:lncRNA from 1 species